AGCUGGAUAGCUCAGUUGGUAGAGCAUGAGAUUCUUAAUCCCAGAGUCAUGGGUUCGAGGCCCAGGUUGGGUG